rnacentral:rRNA from 1 species
UUUUAUUUGAGAGUUUGAUCCUGGCUCAGGAUGAACGCUGGCGGCGUGCCUAACACAUGCAAGUUGAGCGAUUUACUUCGGUAAAGAGCGGCGGACGGGUGAGUAACGCGUGGGUAACCUACCCUGUACACACGGAUAACAUACCGAAAGGUAUGCUAAUACGGGAUAAUAUAUUUGAGAGGCAUCUCUUGAAUAUCAAAGGUGAGCCAGUACAGGAUGGACCCGCGUCUGAUUAGCUAGUUGGUAAGGUAACGGCUUACCAAGGCAACGAUCAGUAGCCGACCUGAGAGGGUGAUCGGCCACAUUGGAACUGAGACACGGUCCAAACUCCUACGGGAGGCAGCAGUGGGGAAUAUUGCACAAUGGGCGAAAGCCUGAUGCAGCAACGCCGCG